rnacentral:lncRNA from 1 species
CCCUUUACUUUUUUUCAUUUUCGCAGGUGAACUCCAGGAAGCAACAAUCACAGCAACCGACGACUCCGACCAAAACCCGCACCCUCCGGUGGAAUCGGUCACAAGAAACGACUAGAUCCAAUGUUCUCCGGUAACAUACGUAUUGCUCUCUCUGUUUUAAUUUUAGUUUAGUCUCUGUUUUGUGAUUGCAAAGUAAUUGAUAUUUUUUCUAGGUGAAGUAAUUAUUUCUUUAGAUUGUUUUCUGUUUGAUAGCCUUAUUUUAUUAUUAUCUCUGGGUUAGUUAUUUUGUAUAAAUUUGUUCAAAUUUUUUAGUGAUUCUUCCUUAGAAUGUUUACAUAUUGUUGAAAUUAUAUAGAUAUCUUUUGGUUCAUUUUUUUUAUUAUUAUUAUUAUAUUAUGUUUUACGUGAAAUUAUUUACCUUAUUCGCAUUAUAUUUUAUUGUUUAUCUUAAAAAAAAAUAGAUUAAUGCUUUGUUACGUUAUAAUUUUUAUGCACGGUAUGGAUUCAUCAUUAGUUUCUAUUAUUUAUUACACACUGUUUAUACGUGACUUUGCAGAAAUUGUGUUACUGUGGUAUUAUUUAAUUAAUUAUCAUUGUUUUAUUAGAUUGUUGAUCGCUUGGUGGUUCUUAUUUUCAUUAUUAUUAUUGGGAUAUGUUGUUAUAAUUUGAUGUUUGUUUAUUGCUUUGUAUUGUCCUUUAGUUAGUUGCGUAUGACUUUAUGCCAGAAAAAUAUUUCGUUGGCCAAUAAAAAAAUCUCCCUGUCGGUUUUGGAGGUCAAUCCAUUUAAAAAGAUGAAAAUUUAGUUUAUGUUUAUAUAUUUUAUUUGUUAAAAUUGGCCAAUGAAAAAAAAAAUUCGUCGGUUUUGGAGGCCUCCACAUUUUAAAAGAUGAAAAUUUAGUUUAAGUUUAUAUUUUUUGUAGUUAAAAUGGUCGAUGAAGAAAUUAACGUCGAUAUCCAAGGCCUCUCAUGUUAAUAAGACGAGUUUUUAUCUUGAAGUUAUUAUUUAAUUCAUUUAUUUUUAUUCAUAUUUAUUUAGUACUAACACUUUUACUAAAUGUCUUUACAGGUAAUUGAAGUUGCUUUCUAUUAAAGCCAUUCGAAUAAAGUUUGAAUUAUAUUAUUUAUUCAUUAUUUUGUAGAUAUUGGCAAUAGGCAAGCCUUAGGUCGAUUCUUACAUUAUUAUUUUAUUUUAUUAUUUGUGUAUAUUGCAUGUUGAUUGUACUUAUAUAUUUAUUUUUAUCUCUUCCUCAAUUUGAAAAAAAUGAAUUUAGUUAGAACCCAUAAUUGUGAAUUUUGAAGGAUGUCUAACACCUUCCUUUUGGAAUAACUUGAACUCCUUAUUUAGAAUCUAAUGAUUUCGUAGAUCAUUUAAUUAGUUUCCUAGUUUUUCUUAAAAUUAGGUGGCGACUCUUUUAAAAUUCGUUUAUUCUUUAAUUUCUUUUAAAAUUGACUUAAUUGAUUUUUUUUGAGUAACCAUGACUUUUUUUCCUAUUUGAAUAGAGUAGGGAUGUAAACAGAAUGACAAUUUCGCUGGAAAUAUAGAGGUGCUAACCAUUAUGAAUUUAUUUUUUCAAAUUGAGGAGCAUUUUCUUUUAUUGUGUUAUACCUUGUACUUUGUACAUUUUGUUGAUUAUUUGUAUAUUGUACUUAUUGUUUAUUCAUUUAAUUGUAUGUAUAUUGUCAUUUCAUGACAUAACUUUCGUCAAAUGGCAAAUAGAAUGCAUUAGGAUAAAGGCGGUUACGUGGCUUUCUACGGCUGUCCUUCAGAAAAGCACCUUCGAAUUCUUAUGAAGUGAUAAAUGAAUAGUUGGCGUGUGGUCAUCCAACGUCGUUUAUUAUAUUUCACCCCGUAGUUUGUCCAACUCGAGUAACCGGGUUUUAUCUAAAUCACUCUUAGUCAACUAGUGUAGAGCAAAGCCAAAAUCGUGUAUUUAGCGCAUUUGCUUGAGAUGACACAACACUCAAGACACAUUUGUAUAAGACAUGCAUUCAUUGUUUGUGUGUUAUGUGAUAUACCUGUUUUACGUGAAUAUGUUGUAUGAUAGUCCAUUAUUUUAAAGUUUUUAAGAGCUUUAGACAUAAAUAUCAAGUCACUUUUACCUUUUGAGUUUUUUUUGAAAGCUUGAAGGUUAUUGCUCGUCCGGAGCGACAAGGGACAAGAAAACUCGCAAAAAAUGAGUCUUAGGAUUUCACAAGACAAUAAUUAGUAGAAAAGACAAAUCAGGGGAGUCUUUGACUAUCAAGUCGCACUCAUCUAUUUGGUUAUUUCUUUUAUUUUUGAUGGCCCUGCUUUCACACAUUUCUUAUAUUUUUGUAGGAAAAUCGUCCUUGACAAUAUCGGGGAUGGUCAUAACAAUGUGUGGUUCUCGUGGAUAAUUGAGAGAAGACAUAGUUCCAAGAGACAUUUAAAAAGAAUACAAAAACAAGUGGUUAUUGUAGAAAUUCGGAGGCCACAUUCAACAAACAGUACAAAGAUCGACAGUUAAGAGGAUGCAAAACAUAUUAGUGCAAACAGUCAAAAGACACUCUCUAACUAAAGAUGUUAGCGGCACUAUACUUAUAAGCAUCACUCUAUGUUUGCCUAAAUUUUUCAAGAAUUUUAUGUCUUAUUUGAACGAAAUACGCGUACCUGAUUCUCAUAUUAAUGAGAUACGUAGGCAACUCUUCUUGAGUUUGGUAUUAUUUUUUCCAAAUGUCAAAAGAAAAAUAGAUUGUGCAUAUUUUCAAAGGCAUAUCUGCAUGAACUACGCACACCUGAUUCUCAUCUCGAUGAGAUACGUAGACAGCCCUGCUCGGGUUUGAUAUUUAUUCUUUCAAAAAAAACAUUGUGUUCAUAUUAUAAGAGUCAUGUCUUCAGCUCAAAUGGGACCAAUGCAGUUAGGAGCAUAUGCAAUAUUUGGUAUGAUGGAGAAGACUGAUUUUGUGGUAAAUCAUAGAUUUUUUUGGUACCUCUCAUUUGUACUUUUGUGAUGCUUGAAAAUUCUCUUGCAGACAUUCAAGAUAAGAAUAAAACCAACCUCAUGGUUUCAUGUGCAUGGUGUGGAGAGAUUUUAGUUCAAAAUUCAAUUGCAUUGCACUGUUGAUCUAGAACUUGGCUUGAAUGUUUUUCGAGGUGAAAUCCUGAAUAAUGUUUGGUUUGGGAAAUGAUUGUAGGCAUUUUUUUAUCCAAUAUAUUGUACCUUUCAAAGCCUAUCAAAUGACAUUAAUCCCUAGUUUUCCCCAUUUUGAGCUUGAAGCCUUUUCUUUGGACUACCACAUCUUAGCCACUACCCCUUUUGAGUACUUACAUGCACUGUCCCUCUCUUGGCCCAACCUUCUUGAGUGCACCAAAAGUGUGCAAAUUAUAAUAGAAGAUUCAUGUUUGAAGUUGCCAAAGACAAAAGAUACAAAGUCUCCCAAAGUCAAAGAAGCAAAAAACAACUUCUAGAAAAAAAAGGAAGAUGGAAAGAAAUAAAGAAAGACAAAUACACCCAUACAAGGUCAAUGAAAGACGAGAAGGAAAAAACUUCAACAAAAAAGGAGAAAACUUCAAAAGAAAGGGGUGAAAAAAGAAAAACUCCAAGAAAUAAAGACUCAAAAGAAGUCAAAACAAAAUAAAGAGGCGAAAAAAAGGAAAAACUCCAAUAAAUGAGAAUUCAAAGGAAGUCGAAAAAAAAAGGGAGGACAAUGAAGAGGAUCUGACGCCAAAGGCGUAUCAAUUGUCAAAAACGCAAAUUCAUUGUGACGCUCAAGAAGGAAUAAAGUCACUCUUAUUCCAAAUAUAUAUCCUACCCGUCCCUAAGCCUACGUUACAAGCCAAUGACAAACCCUACAUGAUCUCAUUCCAAAUGUUCUCACAUUAGUGGAAAUUUACAUAAGGGCCAAACAUAUGGUAUCACAAUUGCAUGCACUGAACAUUCUUGUAAGUGUGAGUGCACUAUGAAAAAUGUCCUCAAAUCAAACACUUCAAAUAUGUGUAAAAUAGGACUUGUCUUUACUGUGAGGGCACUUGAAACAGGGGAAUUGGUACAAUUCAAAACAUUUGUUUAUCAAGAUGAACAAUUUUUUUUAAUCAUUAAGUAUGUUUGAGGUACCACUUGAAGCUAUAGGAAUUACCUUGAAUUCAAUCUUGGUUAGAAAAAGAAAAAAAAAGAAGAAGAGAGAUUUACCUGCAAUCCUAACUGUUGGUAUCAAUUGUAGUCAAGAUUUGACUGUCUCAUCACAUUCUUUAUACUUCAAAAAAAAAAAGGUGAGCAAGCACCUACUCUUUAAUAUUUUUCAAAGCAUUUUUUUAAAUUCUUUCCAUUAAAGAAAAAAAAGAAUUUGUCUUUCCUUUUGGAGUUAUUCAUUGUAAAAAGUGUCAUUAGGCUAAUCUCGUCAGUGUGAGAUGCUUAUUUUACUUCAUUGGGUUGUCCGUCAAAAAAAUGUGACAUAUCUUUUGUCGUUAGGCUUUGAAUAUCGUAGGAAAUAUUUUUUUUAAAAAUUUCAUUAUGUUCAUAUUGUACAUUUUCUACUGAUGAUCUUGUCUCAAAUUCUUUGCAGUAUUCAUCAUCUACACAAUUGGAACUGCAUUUGACCUGAUUCCUGGCUCAACAAGAUAUGUAUGCGUCACCACAACUCGGUCAUAUACCCAGUGUGAUUUUCUUUUCUCCUUGUAAUAAAAAUUGGGACAUAAUUUUUGAGAAUCUCUCAAAAAUUCACAACAAAGGUGUUAUCUCCAUCAAGUCAAGAUUGAAGAUUAUUUUGAGAUUUGUCAAAAGUUCUAACUGGGACAGAAUUUUUGAGGAAGACCUCAAAACUUCCAACAAGUACUGUCAGAAGCUUGAUAGUCAACUUCAAAUGAUCCAUCAUCGCUUGAAGUUCAAAGUCAACUUGCAAAUCUCCAACAUUGUCAUGGCAAGCCAACAACUCCUCGUACAAAUCCCUAAUAAGACAUAAGUCACAAUAAACAUAAAAUGGUCAAGAGUAAAAUGAUGGUUGCUCACAUGUGUCAAAGUGAUCAAGCAUUUUGUACACAUUCUAUUUUAAAGAAUAUUUUCUCAAGGUUUCUUACUAAGUCGCUAGCUAAGGCGACAUUAUGUCUACUAAUUGUUCCUUUUCAAGUACAGGAACAGGUGAAAGCAUUGAGGCGAUAACACUUUCCAGAAAAUCAUCGAGUCAUCCACCUCGUUACAGUUGGAAAAUUAUCGAGUCAUCCACCUCGUUACAGUUGGACAAACAUCGAGUCAUCCACCUUGUUACAGUUGGACAAUCAUCGAGUCUUCCACCUCGUUACAGUUGGACAAUCAUCGAGUCAUCUACCUCGUUACAGUUGGAUAAUCAUAGAUCCAUCCACCUCUUUACAGUUGGACAAUCAUCGAGCCAUUCAUCUCGUUACAGUGGACAAUCAUCGAGUCAUCCACCUCGUUACAGUUGGACAAACUUCGAGCCAUCCACCUCAUUACAGUUGGACAAUCACGAGUCAUCCACCUCGUUACAAUGGACAAUCAUUGAGCCAUCCACCUCGUUACAAUGGACAAUCACGAGUCAUCCACCUCGUUACAAUGGACAAUCAUUGAGUCAUCCACCUCGUUACAAUGGAAAAUCAUUAGGCCAUCCAUCAUUUACAUUUUUUCAUUACAUUUUUUAUUUGCUGAAAGGGCCAUUGCAUUUUUCAUUUGCCAAGAGGGUUAUUGCAUUUUUCAUUUCCCAAGAGGACCAUUGCAUUUUCAUUCGCCGAAAGGCCAUUGCAUUUAAGUCACAUCUAUUCGGAGGUGAAUGAUGUGCACCCUAUCUAUUCCAUCUUCAAGUCGGAGGAGACUUUCGUUGAAAGAUAUUUGCAUCUAAGUCGCAUCUAUUCGGAGGUGAAUGAUGUGCACCCUAUCUAUUCCGCGUUCAAGUCAGAGGAGACUUGCAUUGAAAGAUAUUUGCAUUUAAGUCGCAUCUAUUCAGAGGUGAAGGAUGUGCACCGUAUAUAUUUCACAUUGAAGUCGGAGGAGGCUGGCGUUGAAGGAUAUACAUUCAGAUCCUACCGAUGGAUCAUUUUUAUUUGUCCUAUGGAUGGACAGGCUUAUAUCCUAUUGAUGGAUCAUUUUCAUUUGUCUUAUCGAUGGACAUGCAUUCAGAUCCUAUCGAUAGAUCGUCUUCAUUUGUCCUACCGAUGGACAUACAUUCAGAUUCUACCGAUGAAUCAUUUUUAUUCGUCCUACCAAUGGACAUACAUUCAUAUCCUACCGAUGGAUCAUCUUUAUUCGUCUUACCGAUGGACAUACAUUAAGAUCCUACUGAUGGAUCAUUUUCAUUCGUCCUACCGAUAGACAUGCAUUGAUAUCCUACAGAUGAAUCAUCUUCAUUCGUCGUGUCUUAAAGGAUGCUACAUUUUUCUUUAAUCUUGUCUCUACUAAGGAGUUUUGUUUUUUCAAGAACAUCCAAAAUGAUGCAUUCUCAAUUAAGCCAUAGGUGUGGACUACAUCAACAAAAAUGAGCACAACGUGGAAUCCUUUGGAAGCAAGUUGAGGAUCGAAUUUCACCACAUUUCAACCACACAUUUAUAUGAAGGUCAUGUGUUCGGUCAAAAUUGGGUUCGUCAAGUUUCUUUGUCCAUGAUUUCUUUCAUCAAUCAUAUCCAACGAAAGGAACAACUGUUGACACCCAAUUUUUUCCUAACAUUUUCAAAAUUCGUAACUUUUAAAUUUUUUUUGUUGAAUAGUUCAAAAUACAUUUUUUAUAAUUUAAAAUAAGUUUAUCGAUAACUAUCCUUAUUUAUCAAAUUUAGGAUUUUUUAUCAGUUAAUUUUAAUUACAUUAUUUUUUGUCACAGUCGAUUGAAUACGUUCAAAUAUUUAUUCACUUUGAUUAAAUCAUUAGUUCUUUUAAAUUGCAAUUUUUACAUGUUAUUAGUUACGUUCAGUACAUAUUUUUUAAUAUUUAUUUUAUUUGUUACAUUUGUUAAUAUUCAUUGUGAUAUUUUACACAGUUUAAAAAUUCAUUCGAAUAUGAAUAAGACUUCAUACACAGAUAUUGAAUUAGCUAGUGGAUUUGAUCCAUGAUUUUAAGAUAAUAGUGGUUUUCAAUUUCUAUUUAAACAAUAGCUUAGUGACUAAGUUUGUGGGUGGUGAAAUAAAUUUUGAAUAGUGAGUAUAAUUUUCAGAUUUUUUAAAUUCAUAAACGUCUCUUAUUUUUCUGAUGAACAUGCCGGAUUCGGGGAACCAGCACCACCCAAGACCCACGAGACCCCAUUUCUUUGCUCUUUUUCACCAAACAAACGAAACCACCGGAGGCUACUCCGAUCAACACCCAAACGCCUCCAUUUUCUCCAUCCAGUGGCCACUGAAACAACCAACCAAAUGACCCCCUUUCCCGACCAACAGAUCCAAAACCUCUGACCCACACCACCAUUGAAACAGCCCCCAAACAGCCUUCCUUCCUCCACUGCAUCACUACCAGAAACACACGCCCAAACCACCACAAAAUCAUCACCCACGCCACCAAAACCCCAUCACCUUUCCUGCGAAACCCAAAACCCCAUCAGAAAUCAACACCAAAAUAGCGAAACCACACCCAAACAAUCAGCUCAACACUACCAUCAAACCAACAGACCCCCAACUCUUAUUUUCCCACAUUCACUGUUCUCAAACUUCAACAGUAACAAACCACAACCCAAAACGAACCAGACCUCCACCACUACCAUAACAGCCGCGAACCAGUCCUCUUUCCCUCUCCCCUUUACAUUUUGUCGUUUACGCAGGUGAACUCCAGGUAGCAACAAUCACAGCAACCGACGACUCCGACCAAAACCCGCACCCUCCGGUGGAAUCGGUCACAAGAAAUGACUAGAUCCAAUGUUCUCCGGUAACAUACGUAUUGCUCUUUCUCUUUUAAUUUUUGUUUAGUCUCUAUUUUGUGAUUGCAAAGUAAUUGAUAUUUUUUCCAGGUGAAGUAAUUAUUUCUUUAGAUUGUUUUCUGUUUGUUAGCCUUAUUUUAUUAUUAUCUCUGG